UUAUUGUGAAUGGGAUUUAACCUGAUCUGUGUAAUUGCCUGCCUGCUAUUUAACACUGAGAUUACAACAUUUACAGCUGGUUGUUAAUAAUUCUCUCAGCUGAACUUUUGCAUCCAGCAGAUGAUUUCUGCAGAACGUUCCCUUGGAAGAUGUUCAUUGAAAUUCCUACAUGCAUGAAUGCAUACACGCAGAGUAGCUUGGGCUAACUGACAUUAAUGGAGAUGAGAAAAGUCUUCCCAAAGCCAGAACAAUUUUGUUAUGUGAAGGAGAGCUCCAAAGGAGGAAGCUGAGCUGGAGGAUUUACCUGACAAAGGCAGUGGGACUUCAGCGUAAGGACCUAGUGCAGCCCAAGUGAAGGUGAGAGGAGGAAUGGCGGUGUUGCCAUGGAUAUGGGAUUUUUUUUCUCAUGCCCUGCCUUUGCUCUAAGGCCAAACAUUCUUUACACGG
rnacentral:lncRNA from 1 species